rnacentral:rRNA from 1 species
CACGUAGGGGGCAAGCGUUGUCCGGAUUUAUUGGGCGUAAAGAGCUCGUAGGCGGUUCGGUAAGUCGGGUGUGAAACCUCCAGGCUCAACCUGGAGUCGCCACUCGAUACUGCUGUGACUAGAGUCCGGUAGGGGAGCGUGGAAUUCCUGGUGUAGCGGUGAAAUGCGCAGAUAUCAGGAGGAACACCAGCGGCGAAGGCGGCGCUCUGGGCCGGAACUGACGCUGAGGCGCGAAAGCGUGGGGAGCAAACGGG